AUGAUAACACAGCAGCCAAAUCUGCAUAAGGGAUCAAAGAUGAGUUCCCUCCUAACAAACAGCCCAACACAUUGCAAUUACAAACAUCUGGCGUCAGCUGGGUACAGAUGUCAUGCCAUGCCCACACCCCUAAAACCAUCAGGAUGCGGUCCAGAUGUGAAGAGGUCCAUCUCACGAAGGCCUCCAGCCACUCUCAGGACGCUGGAGCUCUUCAGCACCCCACUCACAUCUGUCUCCUCACGUUCCUCUCGGGGAGUCAGCCAAAAACACAUCACUCAGUCACAUCCCCGCAGACCAAGUGACCCAAGACAGCCAUGAGUGCUGUAGCGUCCAUCUGGGAUACAGCUACGCAGAGGUUGUUGUCUCAUUGUGUUUACUCAAAUAUGUCAUGUAAGUAGCAAAAUGAGGAUGUCAGUUUUGCCAUGCUGCUGCUUGUUUUCCUUUCAUUUAAUUUAUGUCAGAAAAAUACUAAGAAGUCAAUGGCUACCAUCAACUGCUUGGUUACCAACAUUCUUCAAAAUAUCUUCUUUUGUGUUCAACAGAAGGAAGAAACUCCUCAUACAGGAUAAGUAAAUGAUAACAGAUUUUUUAUUUUUGGAUGAACCUUCCCUUUAAUUCAUAAAGUUAUGUCAUUAAAUGUUGAAUGCAAUUCUAAAAAUGAGUAUCUUUCUGUGUUUUUGACAGGUUUUCCAAUAUGAAUUGAACAGCCCAAUCUCACGGCAGUUCAUACAUAUUUGACGAGAUUGUUAAUUCUUACGAAUUUGUAUGACCUCACUUGUACGAAUUUGUAUGAUUUGUGAAAAAAAUCGUACAGAUUUUAUGAGGUGGCAGAUUAGUAGGAAUUCAUAUGAAUGUCCACCCCAACCUUGUCCUAAACCUACCGCUCACAAGAAUUGUACAAGUGAGGUCAUAUGAAUUUGCCACCUUGUAAAAUACAUACAGUGGGGAAAAUAUCUAUUUGAUCCCCUGCUGAUUUUGUAAGUUGGCAAACAUGAAAGGUGUGUAAUUUUUAUGUUAGGCUUAUUUUAACGUAUAGAGACAGAAUACCAACCAAAAAAAAUUGUAAAGGUUGGAAAUUGAUUUGCAUUUCAGUGAGUGAAAUAAGUAUUUGAUCCCCAAGCAAAACAUGACUUAGUACUUGGUGCAGAAACAGUUGUUGGCAAGCACAGAGGUAAGACGUUUUUUGUAGUUGGUCACCAGGUUUGCACACAUCUCAGAAGGGAUUUUGGUCCACUCCUCUUUACAGAUUCUUUCUAAAUCCUUAAGGUUUCUUGGCUGUUUGGCAACUUAAAGCUUUUUUAGCUCCCUCCACAGAUUUUCUAUAGGAUUGAGGUCUGGAGCCUGGCUAGGCCAAAAAAUAUGGGAAAAAAUAUGUUACUGCUUAAUGUUGAUUGGUCCUUUUUUAACUUGUCCAAGUGUUUUGAGGAAGCAUCGUUAUCCAUAUAUUCUUACCUCUGAGUGCAGAUAUGUGUUUCCUGUGUGACUUUCCAUACAUCCUCUGAGAAGGUUCAAUUCACAUGCCACUCAGUGUAUAUAUUACAGCACUCAUGCAAUAGUACUUAAAUCGUCUCUUCCUGCUUGCUCUGAGAUUGAUGUUAUGUUUAGAGAAGUUUUUCUCUCCUCAACAUUCUGUUUAGUUAACACUGAAUUCCCUUUUCAUUCAUUAAUCUUUUGUUUAGAGAGAAAAAAAACACCUUUAAAGUCACAAAAAACGAGGGAACUCCAUAUCUGUAAUUCUCUGUUGGUGGGAUAAAAUGAUUUACUUUCUUUAAUGGAAUAUUUGUUUAUUCAUUUAUUCAUUAACUGUGUAAAUAUUUACUUAUUCACUAUUUAAUGGUUUAUUUAUUUAAAAAAUCCAUAAAUAAAGUAUUACAAAUACUAUUUUUAUUUUCUCCU
ensembl:lncRNA